rnacentral:rRNA from 1 species
AGUGAACGCUGGCGGUAGGCCUAACACAUGCAAGUCGAACGGCAGCACAGUAAGAGCUUGCUCUUACGGGUGGCGAGUGGCGGACGGGUGAGGAAUACAUCGGAAUCUACUUUUUCGUGGGGGCUAACGUAGGGAAACUUACGCUAAUACCGCAUACGACCUACGGGUGAAAGCAGGGGAUCUUCGGACCUUGCGCGAUUGAAUGAGCCGAUGUCGGAUUAGCUAGUUGGCGGGGUAAAGGCCCACCAAGGCGACGAUCCGUAGCUGGUCUGAGAGGAGGAUCAGCCACGCGAGAGCUGAGACACGGUCCAGACUCCUACGGGAGGCAGCAGGGGGAAAUAUGGGACAAUGGGCGCAAGCCUGAUCCAGCCAGGCCGCGUGGGUGAAGAAGGCCUUCGGGUUGUAAAGCCCUUUUGUUGGGAAAGAAAAGCAGCAGGUUAAUACCCCGCUGUUCUGACGGUACCCAAAGAAUAAGCACCGGCUAACUUCGU